rnacentral:tRNA from 1 species
ACCAGGAUGGCCGAGUGGUUAUGGCGUUGGAUCCAAUGGAUGUAUAUCCGCGUGGGUUCCAACCCCACUCCUGGUA